AUACUUACCUGGACGGGGUCGAUGGGCGAUCAAGAAGGCCUAUGGCCUAGAUCAGUGGCCCUCAUUGCACUUGGUGGGUGCGCUGGUCUACCAUCUCCCCAAGUGGGAGAGUGGACGUCGUAAUUUGUGGUAGAGGGGGUACGCGUUCGCGCGGCCUCUG
rnacentral:snRNA from 1 species